GAUGAACGCUGGCGGCGUGCUUAACACAUGCAAGUCGAACGAUGAAGCCCAGCUUGCUGGGUGGAUUAGUGGCGAACGGGUGAGUAACACGUGAGUAACCUGCCCUUAACUCUGGGAUAAGCCUGGGAAACUGGGUCUAAUACCGGAUAGGAGCGUCCACCGCAUGGUGGGUGUUGGAGAGAUUUAUCGGUUUUGGAUGGACUCGCGGCCUAUCAGCUUGUUGGUGAGGUAAUGGCUCACCAAGGCGACGACGGGUAGCCGGCCUGAGAGGGUGACCGGCCACACUGGGACUGAGACACGGCCCAGACUCCUACGGGAGGCAGAAGUGGGGAAUAUUGCACAAUGGGCGCAAGCCUGAUGCAGCGACGCCGCGUGAGGGAUGACGGCCUUCGGGUUGUAAACCUCUUUCAGUAGGGAAGAAGCGAAAGUGACGGUACCUGCAGAAGAAGCACCGGCUAACUACGUG
rnacentral:rRNA from 1 species